ensembl:snoRNA SNORD58 Small nucleolar RNA SNORD58
CUGCAAUGAUGGCAUUUCUUAGCACACCUUUGGAUUCAUCAUGAAAACAAUUAUUUCUGAGCAGC